ensembl:lncRNA
CGCAAACAUUACCGCGUUAGUUUAGCUAGCGACAUUUUUUGAAUGUUUAUAUGUAUUGGUAGCAGAUUAUAAAUAAAAAUGAGCGACGAAGCAGUAUUUGAAACAAUUGAAGAGGUCAAUAAGCAUAUCUCACACGUCGAAGAGUCAACCUGUGUGAAAUAUAUUUCUUAUCGUGUGGACAAGCGCUUCAAUGACCAAGGUUGGAAACCACAGGACCACAAGAACAGGCUAUACUGGGAAUGGAAGUACGGCAAGGGUACUCCCUGUAUCCCCUUUGACGGUGUACCGUUUGUGUUCAUCGGACACAAGCUAAUGGGAUGCCACAGGGGCCGGGCAAAGUGUGGAAUCAAGAAGAGGCAGGAACUUCAGGAUCAAAGGGCAAAAGAUGGCAAGGAAAAAAGAAACCUGUUGCUGAAAACCAAGAAAGUAGCAUGCCCUGCUGUGUUCACAAUCAGCCGCAUUGUGAAGUUCCCUGGAUUCAAGUUGGAGAAGGACACAUCACGGUUGAGGAGGGUCAUGUCUAUUUCCAUCAAACAAGCUCUCCAGACAGACCCAGCCUCAGUGCAGUGGAAGAUACAGUAUUUCCUCAAAAUACCCAGUGUCACUGACCACAAGGGCCAUCCUAUUGGAAAGGGUGCAGAUCAGAUGGACGACAGGGUCAAAGGUUACAUCCGAGCGUUGGUGCAGCAGGGGGUGAGGAAGGUGAAGGAGGUAAAGAACCUGAUGGUCCAGUACGUGCGGACGGAGCUGUUCCAAGACACGACCCCGCCGCCGCUGAGGCGCUUCUUCCCCACAGAGAAAACCAUCCAUGCCGUCAUGGCUCAGGUCAUCGCGGAAGAACACUACAGCAAAAUAGACCUGGUCAACCUGCUGACCUUGGCAGAGAAUUGGAAGGCAGAAGCUCCUAGAAUCAACUUCCUGCUUAGGGUUCAAUCAGAGAGCGAGAACCUGUUGCUCUGCUACCAGACGGACUGGCAGCGGCAGUUGCUUCGGCAGUAUGGCAAGGAGGUGUGCUUCCUGGACGCGGCCUAUAAGAGGACACGCUUCCCCCUGCCACUCUUCUUCCUGUGCGUGCGCACCAAUGUGAGCGUGGCGCCGGUGGGCCUGUUUGUCGUGCAGUCGAGGAGCGCCGAAGCCUUGGGGGAGGCGCUGGGGGUGUUCAGGCAGUGGAACCGGGGCUGGAGCCCAGCCUACAUCCUCACUGAACACUGCCCUGUGGAGAUGAAGGCGGUGGAGGCAGCAUUCACAGGUGCUCAGGCAGUCUUCAGCGAUCACCUGCGGGAGAGGACCUGGACCAAGUGGCUGAGCAACCGGUCCCGAGCCAUCACCAACCAGGAGGGGAUCUUUGAUAUGAUGAAGGCCAUCGCUGGUGCCCUUACCAGAGAGCAACACCAGGGGGCAGUAGAACUACUACAGCAGAGCCCCAUCUGGUUGGAAAAGAGACAACUUUUCAAGAACUGGUUCACUAACAAGUGGCUGUCAGAGGAGAAGAGAUGGGCGAACGCUGUGAGGGUUGAUAUUGUCAACUUUGUGUCUAUGGUGAACGGAGGUCUGGAAAUGCAGAGCGACUUUUUCACACAUAAUAACAUGAAGGUCCAUAAAAAAGACACCCUGAGCCAAAUGCUGCAGUUUCUUGUUGACGACUACUUCCCACAGAUGCACCAAAGGUACACAGACCUCAACAGCCAGUCCUCUGGCGAGUACAACCUCAACCCCACUGUGCCUCCGUUCCUGUGGCAUCGACCUUGGAGUGUGGUGGCCCUGGUGAUGGACAACAUGUCUGCGGCCCUGCAAGACCCCGACAUCGUGGUGGAGCAGGCCAGCGACGCCGCCACCGGCACCUUCCGGGUGAAGAGUCGGGCAGAGACCACGGCAGCGCGGUCCUACGCGGUCAGCUUCGGUUCAGAGUCCACCUGGCCCUCCUGUGAGUGUGAGGUGUGGAGGGACCAGCGCCUGCCCUGUGAACACUUCUGUCACGUCUUCAGGUCUGAGCCUAACUGGACCUGGGAGCACCUGUGUCCCAAAUACAGGGACCACCCUCUGCUCACGCUGCAUUCACAGACCACUCACACCACAACAGAGGAGAUGGAGGAAGCCCUCAAUGGCCUAAUGCAUCUCUCCCCAGCUUCCCCAGUCUCUCUUCAGUGGGAUGGGCCUGAAGAAACAGUGCCACUGGUGCAAACUCCUCAAACUCCACAGUUACAACUGCAUAGCAUACAAACACAGUGGGUGGCCCCACAGGCUUCACAGGGUCUGCGGGAGAGGGAGGAACUGCAAAAGGAGGAACUGCAGAGGGAGUGUGUGGCCAAACUCAAAUCCAUCAUGGAGAAUGUGAGCGGGAUCAACGACAUUGACCACCUACAGGAGCUCAGGCAGAAACUGGACGUUCUCCAGGCUCAGAGUGAGGCCGUGCUGGUUCAGAAGGACGCUAGCGUCAAAACAGUUACCACCCCCACGGGGAAGAGAAAAAGGGCAGGGGUGGAGAUUAUCGUGGCCAUGCCCAAACGCAUCAAAGUGCUCUCCCGGGUUGAUAUAGAAAAUGUUCAGAAAUAGCUUUCUUCUAAAGAGUGAGGCCCCCAAAGAGGGAAAAUAAAGUACGGUAUUAAUCAGGUUGUCGCUCUUAUUUCUUGGGUGAUGUACAAAUAACUCUUUGUUAGGAUGUUAUCACCUAUCCAGUUCUAGAAAGUGUUUGGCUGCUUGAUCACAAGGGUCAGCUUGAUGUAAGAUGCUGCGCAUGUUCACAAACCUUUCCAUAACAAAUUAAUAAAUUAGUUAUAUUGCACAGUCCAAACUAUUUAGAAUUUAGCCAAGUAUCUCAACUCCAUGCUGAUUUCUUCUGCGGAGUUGAGUGGAGCCUAGAGUUUUUGGAGUGAACCUCCAACAUUCUUCGAGUCGCUGUAUAAUCGAUACUUCAAAAUUGUAAAUUCUUAAACCCUUACCGUGUAUCUAUUUUUUUUCCUCUCUGGCUUUCUUUGUUUGCUGAAAUCCAUACCUUUUAAAUAAAAAGUUUAUCAAAUACAA